GAUGAACGCUGGCGGCGUGCCUAAUACAUGCAAGUCGAGCGAAUGGAUUGAGAGCUUGCUCUUAUGAAGUUAGCGGCGGACGGGUGAGUAACACGUGGGUAACCUGCCCAUAAGACUGGGAUAACUCCGGGAAACCGGGGCUAAUACCGGAUAACAUUUUGAACCGCAUGGUUCGAAAUUGAAAGGCGGCUUCGGCUGUCACUUAUGGAUGGACCCGCGUCGCAUUAGCUAGUUGGUGAGGUAACGGCUACCCAAGGCAACGAUGCGUAGCCGACCUGAGAGGGUGAUCGGCCACACUGGGACUGAGACACGGCCCAGACUCCUACGGGAGGCAGCAGUAGGGAAUCUUCCGCAAUGGACGAAAGUCUGACGGAGCAACGCCGCGUGAGUGAUGAAGGCUUUCGGGUCGUAAAACUCUGUUGUUAGGGAAGAACAAGUGCUAGUUGAAUAAGCCGGCACCUUGACGGUACCUAACCAGAAAGCCACGGCUAACUACGUGCCAGCCGCCGCAGUAA
rnacentral:rRNA from 1 species